UAUUAAAGAAUCAGGAUAUAUUGGUUGUUAUCAGGAUGACAGCACUAGAAUAUUACAUAACGAGGUACUGAAAGACAAAGGUAUGACAGUUCAAAAAUGCAAACAGUUUUGUGGUAAAAAAAGGAUUCAAGUUUGCAGGUGUUGAGGUAAGUCAUUGAUAGGUAAGGAGUUUGUGUUCAUGAAUUUAUAAAAUAAGGUUUGAUUAUAGUAGUUUUUGAAAUGUGCUUCACAUCACUCUUCACCGAAACAUUUAUUUUAGUCAACCCUAGUUUUUAAUAAAUAUAUUACAUUUUUCAAAACUUGUGUCCCAGGGGUAAUAUCAAUCUUAAGCCUGAGGGGCGGUUCUUACAAAUAAUUACCAAAACAAAACGUUUUCGGAGUCGUAGAUUUUAUUCCUUAGACUUUUAAUUGCUCGAUCGUAUUUGAACCAUAAGAAGGACAUAUGACAUAUAUACUUUAUUACUCUGAGAUAGGCAAAUACCUUGCAUUACCUUGUAUUUGAUUAGAUUAUGUUAAUAAAAAGGUGAUACUUAUAAUAAAAAGAAUAAUAAUUUUAUAGUAUGGAUACGAAUGCUUUUGUGGGAAUGAUUUACGAAAAGACAGAAAAAGAAAAGAAAGUGAUUGUAAAACGCCAUGCUCAGGCAAUAAACGUCAGACAUGUGGUGGUCCAUGGAGGAUCUCUAUUUAUACAGGUAAGAGGUUGUUUGUAUAUAUUUCCCCUUCCUCUACACCGAUCACUAUAUAAUGAGAUGGUGAUCUUUAUUUAAUUGGCACGUUGAGAUACACGAAUGAGAUAUUCCUUGUUCAUUUUAUUUCUAAUUUGAUUCAAGGAAAAUGAACUAAAAUUUAUCUGUAACACUUCUUUUUUCAAUCAUUGUAUAUAGCUGAGUUCCACAUAAAGAGAAAUUAGCAUCAUUGGAGUUCUUAAUCUUCUCAACAUUUGGGUUUGGUAGUAUAUAAAAGAUGCCUUAGGGUUGGACUAGUAAGAAUUUUAAUCACAGAUUUUUUCUCAAAUAACUGUUAUUUGUUUUGACUCUGAGCUAAAAAGAGAUUUUAUUUGAUGCAGCCUAUCACUGAUGAGUCUUUUGUAGACGAAACGCGCGUCUGGCGUUAAUUUAAAUUUCAAUCCUGGUUUCUAUGAUGAGUUUAUUAUCAACAUAGUUUACGUUCGUACGUUUUGUCAGAUCAAUAUAGACAUUUAUUUCCAAAUAGCAUUAAAAUAUAUGCAUCCCAUAAUAUAAUAAUACCUGCAUAUAUAUUGCGUCUGUUAAGCAGAAUAUCGAGGUGACGGAGUAAAAUCUUGUAAAAAAGACAAACGUUAGUAUUUUUAUAUUGUACACAAAGCAAAAUACAACUUAUAAUUAAAUCAAGAUUUAAUUUAGUGUAAAGACGUCAUAAAAAGUCUGCAAAAAAAGAUGACCUUGUGCAAUGCCAAACUAUAAGUAUCCUCCUCAUUGUGAGCGAAACAAUAUUUCUAAUAAUCCAUGUUUUAUUUAUCUUGUUAUUAUUCAAACCAUUACGAUAUAAAAUUGACUUUUGAUACAGGGAAACAAACUUUUUACUACAUGUUUGUUGGUUAAAACCUUAGUUACAUAUCAGAAUGUAUAAAAUAAAUUAAAAUAAAGUGUAUUUAUUUUUUCUAUACAAAGCACCAGAGGAUGUUGAUGGUGAGUAUGUUCUCUAAAUUAAGUGCAAAUAAAAACAGACAAUACCAUGGCCAAAAAUUACAAGAAAUAUAACCUAUAAUUCAAGAAUUGUCCAUUUUGCCAAGAUGACAUCGUGAAAUUCGAAAAUAACCAAGCCCUUGCCAAGGAGAAUGAAUAAAAUAUUACUCCAUCGUGACCUUUGGUAGUCAGCAUUGACCCAAUGAACAUCCAAUUUAAAUGUCACAAUAUCAAAU
rnacentral:lncRNA from 1 species